AGCGAACGCUGGCGGCAGGCUUAACUCAUGCAAGUCGAACGCCCCGCAAGGGGAGUGGCAGACGAGUGAGUAACACGUGGGAACGUACCCUUUGGUUCGGAAUAACUUGGGGAAACUCAAGCUAAUACCGGAUAAGCCCUUAUGGGGAAAGGUUUACUGCCGAAGGAUCGGCCCGCGUCUGAUUAGCUAGUUGGUGAGGUAAUGGCUCACCAAGGCGACGAUCAGUAGCUGGUCUGAGAGGAUGAUCAGCCACACUGGGACUGAGACACGGCCCAGACUCCUACGGGAGGCAGCAGUGGGGAAUAUUGGACAAUGGGGGCAACCCUGAUCCAGCCAUGCCGCGUGAGUGAUGAAGGCCUUAGGGUUGUAAAGCUCUUUUACCCGGGACGAUAAUGACUGUACCGGGAGAAUAAGCCCCGGCUAACUUCGUGCCAGCCGCCGCGGUAA
rnacentral:rRNA from 1 species